rnacentral:lncRNA from 1 species
GGAGUCCUAGGGGGGUUAGAGUAUUGUUCAUCAAUGCAAGCAUGGUGCUUGUACUGGUUGGCUCCAUUGGAUAUGAGUUUGCCGUACAGGUUGCUAGGGGUAGGCAGCAGGUGGUGACAGCCCUGUCCAUCCUUUGUAAUCCCCCACAUUCGGGUACGUUGUAGAAGUUCGUAAAUUAGCAGUAACUAUGCCGGCAGAUUGGUAGGGUAUUGUCUCCCCAUGUGUGUUUGGGUGCAUAGGCGUCGUUCUAAAUGUGUGUAUGUUGUGUAUGUAUACUAGUAUGAGCUGUGCAGUAUAUAGGAAGUACAUA